rnacentral:rRNA from 1 species
UACGUAGGGUGCGAGCGUUGUCCGGAAUUAUUGGGCGUAAAGAGCUUGUAGGCGGUCUGUCGCGUCUGCUGUGAAAAUCCGGGGCUCAACCCCGGACUUGCAGUGGGUACGGGCAGACUAGAGUGUGGUAGGGGAGACUGGAAUUCCUGGUGUAGCGGUGAAAUGCGCAGAUAUCAGGAGGAACACCGAUGGCGAAGGCAGGUCUCUGGGCCACUACUGACGCUGAGACGCGAAAGCUAGGGGAGCGAACAGG